GUGGGGAAUAUUGGACAAUGGGCGCAAGCCUGAUCCAGCCAUGCCGCGUGAGUGAUGAAGGCCUUAGGGUUGUAAAGCUCUUUCAGUGGGGACGAUAAUGACGGUACCCACAGAAGAAGCCCCGGCUAACUUCGUGCCAGCAGCCGCGGUAAUACGAAGGGGGCUAGCGUUGUUCGGAUUUACUGGGCGUAAAGCGCACGUAGGCGGAUCGUUAAGUCGGGGGUGAAAUCCUGGAGCUCAACUCCAGAACUGCCUUCGAUACUGGCGAUCUUGAGUCCGGAAGAGGUGAGUGGAACUCCUAGUGUAGAGGUGGAAUUCGUAGAUAUUAGGAAGAACACCAGUGGCGAAGGCGGCUCACUGGUCCGGUACUGACGCUGAGGUGCGAAAGCGUGGGGCGCAAACAGGAUUAGAAACCCUAGUAGUCC
rnacentral:rRNA from 1 species